UAACAAGGAUUCCCCUAGUAACUGCGAGUGAAGCGGGAAGAGCUCAAAUUUAAAAUCUGGCAGUCUUCUGGCUGUCCGAGUUGUAAUCUGGAGAAGUGUUUUCUGUGUUAGACCGUGUACAAGUCUCCUGGAACGGAGCGUCAUAGAGGGUGAGAAUCCCGUCCAUGACACGGACUACUAAUACUUUGUGAUACGCUCUCAAAGAGUCGAGUUGUUUGGGAAUGCAGCUCAAAAUGGGUGGUAAAUUCCAUCUAAAGCUAAAUAUAGGCGAGAGACCGAUAGCGAACAAGUACCGUGAGGGAAAGAUGAAAAGCACUUUGGAAAGAGAGUUAAACAGUACGUGAAAUUGUUGAAAGGGAAACGCUUGAAGUCAGUCGCGUUGUGCAGAACUCAGCCUUGUCUCAGCUUGGUGUACUUCCUGCACAACGGGUCAACAUCAAUUUUGGCCCAUGGAGAAAGGUGGGGGGAAUGUAGCGCUGUUUCGGCAGCGUGUUAUAGCCCUCUAUUGUAUACAUGGGCUGGGAUUGAGGAACGCAGCACGCCCUUGUGGCCGGGGGUUCGCCCUACGUACYGUGCUUAGGAUGUUGGCAGAAUGGCUUUAAGCGACCCGUCUUGAAACACGGACCAAGGAGUCUAACAUACUUGCGAGUGUUCGGGUGGAAAACCCUUGUGCGUAAUGAAAGUGAAAGUUGGGAACACCUCCGCAAGGGGGGGUGCACCGACGCCCGGCCCUGACGUUCUCUGACGGUGCUGCGGUAGAGCAAGUAUGCUAGGACCCGAAAGAUGGUGAACUAUGCCUGAAUAGGGCGAAGCCAGAGGAAACUCUGGUGGAGGCUCGUAGCGAUUCUGACGUGCAAAUCGAUCGUCAAAUUUGGG
rnacentral:rRNA from 1 species